CUGGCUUCUAUCAUGCCUCUGUGAAAUAUAGAAAUGUUGAUUGGAACAAUGGCAGUGAAAUUAGCUUCCUGACUGGGUGAAGACCAGAACUGGAAGAAAUGGUAAUUGCAACAAGUAAAGGACGUAACUAUCGCACGUAUGAAAAUAAUGAAGUGGCAAAAGAAUGCAAGAAAUAUGAAAUACAAUAACAAGUACAGUGACCACCAUUGUCUAAGUGCUCAAUUUGUGGACUUGAGGUGAAGACUCUGCUGACAACCUUGCACACCACACGCACAAGACCUUCGAAAGAACUCCGCCUGAACUCUUUGAAUGAAACCUGAUAUUAUGCAUACUUUCACCAAAAUAUGAACUGUGAGCAUGUGCUGCUUUUAUUUUCACUCAUCGAGUGUAUACAUAUCAAAAUGUGUGUCCAAAUACACAACUUUGAAGUUCUGCAAACAAAGGUUUUGUCCAUAUUGCAAAUGAGAUAUUUGGAACAGCUCUCUGCAUUCCGUCUAUCAACCAAUUUGUUCAAGUACAAAGAGUUGUCUUUUACCUUUAUUCUUUUAUUUAUACAAUUGCAUCCUGUGAGGGAUCAAAAGAUUUAGCAAAAUGUAGUAGAUCACUUCUUUUGCUGCACCCCUUGCUCAGACCUAAGUAAAUUAGUUUAUAAUUUAUUACGCAUAACCUCAUGCUGACUCCUAAUGAAACGCAUAAUAUAGUAAGUUUUCAAGUAACUUUCUAAUUAGAGAUGUUCAAUUUUAUACCUGUGUCAGUCUCUCCCUAUAUCUAUCUAUCUAUCUAUCUAUCUGUCUGUCUGCCUGUCUGCCUAUAAACUUGAUGUUUUUUCAUAUGUAUUUUCACACAUGAAAGCAUACUUGUCCUGCAAAGAAGAUCUAAUUAUAUUAACAAUAUCACAGAUUUACUUAUCAAUCAGAAGUGUUUGUCAUAUAAUUCCAUCUGUUGCAGCAACAAGAGAAAAAGAAAAAUACAAUGUGCAGCUUAGUUAAUCAAGUCCCUGUUGAAACCUACAUUUAUUAGAAGA